GCAAUUAAAAGUAGCAGUG
rnacentral:miRNA from 1 species